rnacentral:rRNA from 1 species
GCUUGCUAUUUUUAUGAAGAGCGGCGAACGGGUGAGUAACGCGUGGGAAAUCUGCCGAGUAGCGGGGGACAACGUUUGGAAACGAACGCUAAUACCGCAUAACAAUGAGAAUCGCAUGAUUCUUAUUUAAAAGAAGCAAUUGCUUCACUACUUGAUGAUCCCGCGUUGUAUUAGCUAGUUGGUAGUGUAAAGGACUACCAAGGCGAUGAUACAUAGCCGACCUGAGAGGGUGAUCGGCCACACUGGGACUGAGACACGGCCCAGACUCCUACGGGAGGCAGCAGUAGGGAAUCUUCGGCAAUGGGGGCAACCCUGACCGAGCAACGCCGCGUGAGUGAAGAAGGUUUUCGGAUCGUAAAACUCUGUUGUUAGAGAAGAACGUUAAGUAGAGUGGAAAAUUACUUAAGUGACGGUAUCUAACCAGAAAGGGACGGCUAACUACGUGCCAGCAGCCGCGGUAAUACGUAGGUCCCAAGCGUUGUCCGGAUUUAUUGGGCGUAAAGCGAGCGCAGGUGGUUUCUUAAGUCUGAUGUAAAAGGCAGUGGCUCAACCAUUGUGUGCAUUGGAAACUGGGAGACUUGAGUGCAGGAGAGGAGAGUGGAAUUCCAUGGGUAGCG